UUCUGGUAUGGGAGGUGUUUUUGCUAUAGAUUUUUGGCUGGAUAUAGAAGAUUAUCAAGGAUUAAAUUCUUCCUCCCUAGAUUUAACUACCAAUAUCAAGUGCGUAGUAUAGGGAAGCUGACUCGACCUUACAUGAAGUUAAUUAGAGGAAAAAUUUUCAUGCUCUACAGGUGCAUGUAGGGGGAACCAAAAGUUGCUGAAUUAAAAGCAAUCUUUUCUUUCCUUCAGUGUCUAUGGCUGAGGGAAUAAGACCAGCAGUGAUAAGAAUGAAAUAGCAAAGGCUCUGAAGCAGCAUGAAGCAAUGAACAAUCCUCACUUUGAAAACCUUAUAGUGAAGAAGCUUUCCAAUGCUGCUGUCAAAAUUGUCAUUCCCCACCAGAUGCCCUAAGUUCCUACUGCUCCCCGCUGGUACUGCUGCCCCUGUUGUCUCUCCGUCCAAAGAGUUUCAGAACAAGAGACAAGCUUUUAUGGAGCCUGGCAAAGCUUCAGAAGGGAAAAGGAAAAAUCGAUACUGCUUCAAAGCCAAGUAUUUGCUUCAGUGAAUAUGACAUUUGCCCUUUCUUCACUAGGGGGAAAAACAACAAGGACACUUAGGCCGGCAAUGGAAAUAGAAUGAACAACAGAGAGACCUUCCAGAUUUGACAUGUAAAGGGAAAUAACUUUGUAGUUAUUGUCCCUGUUUGGUGACAUCAAAAACAGGUGUAGAGUGUAAGGCGGUGCAGGCUGAGAAUGAAGUGGAAAGUAACACAAAGUCAAAGAGAAGAGUUGAAGGAAUUUGGAACAAGUGAUAAUGGACUUGGCUGAAAAGAUGGAGAAUGAAAGACACUGCGCAAAGGUGAAGUCCAUUGUUGUACAAUCAAAUUAACUAUUAAAUGUCAGCUGCAAAGGUGCGCCAUAAUAUUAAAAGGACCUUCCAGUAAGUUUUACACCAUUUUGACAGCUUUACAGCUACUGAAAAUGUCCAUAGAACCUCACAGUUUGCUAAUGAAAGGCCUCUCCGUAAGGAUGAAGCAGUUCAGAAACUUUGAAAGAGAAGCUGGGAAUACCAAUUAAAGAAAUGCAAAAUCAAAACAAGCUUGAAAAACACUCAUAUUUUUGGAGGAUUAAAAAAGAAUUAAACUACAUAUAAGCCUUAGAAGCCUGCUCUAAUUCUUUUUGACAUCCAGGUUUUCAUUAAUUUAAUUCUACAGCUGGUUAUAACUCCCUGAUUCCAUUCUAUUUUGACUAUGCCAAUCCUAAGCUAGUUUUCCAAGUUGUGUUUUUAGAUGUUUCUAAUUUGUGUCAUUCACUAUAUGGAAUUUUAUGGACCUGUUUGCUACUGAAAUAAGAUUCGUCAUUUAAAUGUUGUGUCAUUGCUCAAAAAUAUUUUUUUCCUUAUGUGAAGCUGUGCCUUCAGCUGCUACCAGCAGGGUUAAUUUGCAGCACCUAAAAUCCCUGCUGAGUGGGUCAGCUGCUGCUGUUGCAGUCAGGAAACGGAGCAGGCAUCAUCCUUGGUGAAUCAAAUAGCAUGACUUCUGAGGAGCAUAGGUGUAGUGCAGCAGGACAGUCAUGUACUCAUACUCUGACCCCUGUACUGCUGCUGGGUGAGAGUUCUGCAGCUACAGAAUCAAUAAAAAUGUAUUGAUUUCUCUGUACUGUCAUAAAGCUUGUCUGCUCUCAUCUCCAGUUUGCAAGCAGAAGGAGAAGACUGUAAAACUACAAUUGUCUUAGGCUUUCUUUCACCUCCUCCAUUCCAUGCUCGUUACUCCAGAGACCAAGAUCUGUUUCUGACAUGCUGCCCCAGCUGCUCUAUUAGCAUCCCACUCUUUUAACACUUUGUGUUGGAAAAAUAGCUGGUUUUGAAACCAAGUGCAGGGGGAUUGCCUUAAAGACUAAAGGUGAGUGACUUCUCUGGAGCUUAACACAUCCCACUGCAUGCAGAAAAGGGUAGCCAAGGACAGAUAAUGUGAUGAGGAGUUCAUUGUCUCUUUAGGUAUUGCAGGUUCCCUUAAGGUUUAUUUUCUAGGCAGUUUCAGAUCCCUUUGAAACUGAUGUUUUCUGUUCUUGGAGGAAGGUGUGUAGUGAUCAUUGAUAUGAAGAAUGUAGGAAUGUCCUCCAUUGCUGGUAAAUAAUAUUUAACUUCAUAGCAACUGUCACCUAAAACCGUAUCUGUCAAAAGGCAGCUGUGCAGAUAUGUGCAAUUCGUGUUCAUGCAGAUUAUUUGGGAAGCUUGGCUUCAAGCUUCUGGGAUAGAUGCAACAAUUUGUCAGUUGUAUAAUCAAUUGAUUAAAUCCCAAAGUCCUGAUAAAAUGCAGAAUGCAGUCAUGGAACGAACAGGCUGGAAAAGAUUCACCUAAAAGACAGAAGUACAAGACCCCUGCACAUUGUUGAGUACAGUUUGAUAUUUCCAUGAUUUCACUGCCUGACCUGCAGUAUCACUAAACAAUAUUUAUAAUAUAAUAUCUGUAAUGUUAGAAUAUUACAGAUCAACAACAACAAAAAAGCAUCAAAGGGGUGCGUCUUGCAGCAUUUAAAAGCAUCAGCCUUGGAUCCUUUUGUUUCUAUGGAGAAUGAGGACUUUGACACUCAAUUGUUUCUAUCGAUAAGGUCCCCAGCUGCACCAAUUUUGAUAGAAAUAUUUGCAGAGCAGCAGAGUACAUACACACGUGACCAGUGGUCACAUGUGAGUGAUACACACACGUGACUACUGGUCAAAUGACCGACUGUGCCUCUAUCAUUGUCAAUAUUUAAAUUAUGUGUUACUUAAUGUAAGAUAAUUGUGGCACACAAAGUAGGCAGUGCUUUCUCCUCUACCAGCUGAAGGGCAAGGCAGACCUGCUGACAAGUAGGAAAAUCCAGGUUUAUCAGCCCUACUGCUUUAGUGACUUUCCUUGUAUUGAUGCUUCAAUCAAAUAAUGCUAACAAUGUGAUGUUUUAAAUGUAUGCUGUUGGGCUGUUUUAUGCAGGAUGUUGAGUCAGACUCACACAUAGUGUUAUUACUGAGGUCUGCAACUGCAGACCCAGAGAAGGAAAAGGGAAAAUUCCUUUGUGAGCAGUUAGGAAGGAAAUAUAGGUGGGUCCCUAGAAGGGUGUUCUCUGGGGGAUCUUUGCAGAUCGGCUGGCAGUGAGAAUGAAGAGAAAAAUAAGAAUGUCUUUGGCAUGUUUUUCCAGAAUAUAUUGUAUGGUUUUGUUGGUACUUUUUUUUUUUUUCUUCCUAGUGGGAUCAUAUCAAAAUCCCUAUUGGAUUUUCCUGUUAGUGGUAUAAUUACACUAGAGCAUGGUAGCAAGAUAAAGUAUUGUGCGUUGGUCACUAAUGUGCUGGUAUAUUUUCUGAUAAUAUUUCAGUAUUCAGUUGACUUGUGCAUUAUGCUUAAUUGUUUUUAACAUAAAGUAACAUAUACAAUAGGAGGUAAGAAA